rnacentral:lncRNA from 1 species
AAAUAAGAGAUAACUUCUCUCUCUCUCGAUUCGGUUCCAGUCGUCUUAGAAAAAAAUACAUCGUAAGUACAUUUUAUUUUGGUGAUUCAAUUAAAUUUUUGACGUUCGAUAGAAUCUUAGAAAGAAAUCUGUUUGUUUUUGGAGAAUUAAAAAAAAAAAAGUAGCAGUAAGCUAACUUCGGAACGUAUCAUCGCUUCUACUUACAUCAACCGGUAACAGUUUGGAUUGAUUUUGGUCGGCACUCCAAGACACUCCCUGGGGAUGAAGUGUCACACUUAAUCCUCCAAAGGAUAGCCCAUGUCCAGUCGGACUAUUUUCGGUUGGCCAGCAAAACAAGCAUGGCUGUCAACCGGCCAGCAGUUUUUACCGAGCCAUAUUUUUUAGUUUUUCUUGUCAAACUCGAUCUUUUGUGUAAAAUUUAAGAUGACGUUAGAAUCUAAAUUUAAAGCCGAGCCGUUCUUCGUUAAUCAACGAUUACUCCUAACUGUUUAUGAGUUCUCCUCAAUUAGGAGGCACGCGAGCCGCUCUGUAAAUUGGAAUAACAAAAGCGGAAAAAGAAAAAAAAAAUUUAAUUAUUCACUUCUUGCCUUUAAAACGAGUCUAUUCGUUAUUUGUAUUAAUAUAUCUUUAACCGUUUCGCUUUAAUUAUGUUUAUUUCAUUUAAUGAUGUUUAUUUCACUUUGAUCGAGUUUAAUCUUGGUUAAUUAUGUUCUUUUCAGUUUAAUUAUAUUUAAUUUACCUAAUGUACGUUUCAUUUUUAAUUGUAUUCUUUCGAUUUAAAUUGUUUAUUUCAGUCGGUUGUGUCC